rnacentral:tRNA from 1 species
UCGGAUAUGGUGUAACGGCCAACAUUGCCGCCUCUCAGACAAGGGUGCGCGGCAGCUCGGGGUUCGAUUCCCCGUAUCCGAA